UACGUAGGUGACAAGCGUUGUCCGGAUUUACUGGGCGUAAAGAGCGCGCAGGCGGUCGUUCAAGUCGAGUGUGAAAGCCCCCGGCUCAACUGGGGAGGGUCAUUCGAUACUGAUCGACUCGAAGGCAGGAGAGGGAAGUGGAAUUCCCGGUGUAGCGGUGGAAUGCGUAGAGAUCGGGAAGAACACCCGUGGCGAAGGCGACAUGCUGGGUUGCACCUGACGCUGAGUUGCGAAAGUGUGGGGAGCAAACGGG
rnacentral:rRNA from 1 species